GAGGAAGGUGGGGAUGACGUCAAAUCAGCACGGCCCUUACGUCCGGGGCUACACACGUGUUACAAUGGGGGGUACAGAAGGCAGCUACACAGCGAUGUGAUGCUAAUCCCAAAAGCCUCUCUCAGUUCGGAUUGGAGUCUNCAACCCGACUCCAUGAAGCUGGAUUCGCUAGUAAUCGCGCAUCAGCCACGGCGCGGUGAAUACGUUCCCGGGCCUUGUACACACCGCCCGUCAAGCCAUGAAAGCCGGGGGUACCUGAAGUCCGUAACCGCAAGGAGCGGCCUAGGGUAAAACUGGUAAUUGGGGCUAAGUCGUAACAAGGUAAA
rnacentral:rRNA from 1 species